rnacentral:rRNA from 1 species
AGCAGCCGCGGUAAUUCCAGCUCCAAUAGCGUAUAUUAAAGUUGUUGCAGUUAAAAAGCUCGUAGUUGAAUUUCGGGAUCAGUGGGUCGGUCGUGCCACUGGUAUGCACUGGCCCUACUGGUUCCUCCUUCUUGAAGAACUGUAAUGCCAUUAAUUUGGUGUUGCAGGGAAACAGGACUGUUACUUUGAAAAAUUAGAGUGUUUAAAGCAGGCAAUCGCUUGAAUACAUUAGCAUGGAAUAAUGAAAUAGGACGAUCGAUCCUAUUUUGUUGGUUUCUAGGAUUGACGUAAUGAUUAAUAGGGAUAGUUGGGGGCAUUAGUAUUCAAUUGUCAGAGGUGAAAUUCUUGGAUUUAUUGAAGACUGACUACUGCGAAAGCAUUUGCCAAGGAUGUUUUCAUUAAUCAAGAACGAAAGUUAGGGGAUCGAAGACGAUCAGAUACCGUCGUAGUCUUAACCAUAAACUAUGCCGACUAGGGAUCGGACGAUAGUUAAUUUUUAAUGACUCGUUCGGUAC